rnacentral:misc_RNA from 1 species
CCAUAUCAAACCUUGGUCGGGGUUGCUGCACAUGUGGCGCGAAGACGAACGCGUCGUCGCGCAUGGGAGACCGAAGCGAAGCCGGAGGGCGUGGCUCGCUGCUGUGAUUCAUCGAGCACCCACACGCGAGGCGAAGGAGCAUGCUGCUGCGGCUUGCAGCUUGCUGCGCAUGUCGGCGGUGGAGCUCGCUGCUGGAAUUUUAUGGGCGCCCUGGACAGUGAGCUGGGCGGCAUUGGCCUCUCACCAUGGGUGGAGCUCAGAUGGGGGCAAUGCUGCCAUGGGAGAGGAGCUUGGGUGUCCUCCAUGGCUGUUCAGAUCUCAGGCGCAGGAGGGGUUUAUUUCAGGCGUUGAAACAUGGAGGAGCAGAGGAAGGAAAGGGGGAGAUUGCAGGGGGCGCCAUGGAGAAGCUUCUGCGCGGCGUCCAUUGCAGGGGAGGUGGAGCUCGUAGGGAGGGGCGCCGUGCAGGAGAGGGGCGCAGGGAACUCAGACUGGAGCUGGACGGUGUCAAGUUCCCUGCCAUGGGGGCGCUGCUUGGGCGCCAUGGCUGCUGGAAAAAAAAUUCUGGGCGCCAUGAACAGAGAGGAAGCGCUGUGUGCGUGUGGGAGAGGAAGAAGAAGGUUGUGGCGGCUAGGGGUAGGGAG